rnacentral:rRNA from 1 species
GAUGAACGCUGGCGGCGUGCCUAAUACAUGCAAGUCGAGCGAACAGACGAGGAGCUUGCUCCUCUGACGUUAGCGGCGGACGGGUGAGUAACACGUGGAGAACCUAGCUAUAAGACGGGGAUAACUUCGUGAAACCGGUGCUAAUACCGGAUAAUAUAUGGAACCGCAUGGUUCAAGAGUGAAAGACGGUUUUGCUGUCACUUAUAGAUGGAUCCGCUCCGUAUUAGCUAGUUGGUAAGGUAACGGCUUACCAAGGCAACGAUGCGUAGCCGACCUGAGAGGGUGAUCGGCCACACUGGAACUGAGACACGGUCCAGACUCCUACGGGAGGCAGCAGUAGGGAAUCUUGCGCAAUGGGCGAAAGCCUGACGGAGCAACGCCGCGUGAAUGAUGAAGGUCUUCGGAUCGUAAAACUCUGUUAUUAGGGAAGAACAAAUGUGUAAGUAACUAUGCACGUCUUGACGGUACCUAAACAGAAAGCCACGGCUAACUACGUG